GAUGAACGCUGGCUACAGGCUUAACACAUGCAAGUCGAGGGGAAACGGCGUUGAGUGCUUGCACUGAAUGGACGUCGACCGGCGCACGGGUGAGUAACGCGUAUCCAACCUUCCCGUUACUGCGGGAUAACCUGCCGAAAGGCAGACUAAUACCGCAUGUUCUUCGAUGACGGCAUCAGAUUCGAAGCAAAGACUCGUCGGUAACGGAGGGGGAUGCGUCUGAUUAGCUUGUUGGCGGGGCGACGGCCCACCAAGGCGACGAUCAGUAGGGGUUCUGAGAGGAAGGUCCCCCACAUUGGAACUGAGACACGGUCCAAACUCCUACGGGAGGCAGCAGUGAGGAAUAUUGGUCAAUGGGCGGAAGCCUGAACCAGCCAAGUAGCGUGCAGGACGACGGCCCUACGGGUUGUAAACUGCUUUUAUGCGGGGAUAAAGUGAGGGACGCGUCCCUUUUUGCAGGUACCGCAUGAAUAAGGACCGGCUAAUUCCGUGCCAGCAGCCGCGGUAAUACGGAAGGUCCGGGCGUUAUCCGGAUUUAUUGGGUUUAAAGGGAGCGUAGGCCGGGGAUUAAGUGUGUUGUGAAAUGUAGGCGCCCAACGUCUGACUUGCAGCGCAUACUGGUUCCCUUGAGUACGCGCAACGCCGGCGGAAUUCGUCGUGUAGCGGUGAAAUGCUUAGAUAUGACGAAGAACCCCGAUUGCGAAGGCAGCCGGCGGGAGCGCAACUGACGCUGAAGCUCGAAGGUGCGGGUAUCGAACAGG
rnacentral:rRNA from 1 species